AUCUUAUCAAGAGUGGUGGAGGGAUAUGCCCGAAGAAGCCCGGCAACCUAAGUGGAUGAAUGAUUUUAUCCAUUGCAAGGUGCUAAAUCAUACAGAGUGUCAGACUCUGAGAGAUGAGAG
rnacentral:ncRNA from 2 species